CCUACGGGUGGCAGCAGUGGGGAAUAUUGCGCAAUGGGCGAAAGCCUGACGCAGCGACGCCGCGUGAGGGAUGAAGGUCUUCGGAGCGUAAACCUCUGUCAGCAGGGAAGAACGGUCACUGUGCUAAUCAGCAGUGAAUUGACGGUACCUGCAAAGGAAGCACCGGCUAACUCCGUGCCAGCAGCCGCGGUAAUACGGAGGGUGCGAGCGUUAAUCGGAAUUACUGGGCGUAAAGGGCUCGUAGGCGGUAUGUCAAGUCAAGGGUGAAAUCCCCGCGCUCAACGUGGGAACUGCCUUUGAAACUGGCAGACUGGAGUGUGUGAGAGGAUAGUGGAAUUCCAGGUGUAGGAGUGAAAUCCGUAGAUAUCUGGAGGAACAUCAGUGGCGAAGGCGACUAUCUGGCACGUCACUGACGCUGAGGAGCGAAAGCGUGGGUAGCAAACAGGAUUAGAUACCCCUGUAGUC
rnacentral:rRNA from 1 species